rnacentral:rRNA from 1 species
AGUAGUUUGAUCAUGGCUCAGAACGACGCUGGCGGCAUGCCUAACACAUGCAAGUCGAACGAGACCUUCGGGUCUAGUGGCGCACGGGUGCGUAACGCGUGGGAAUCUGCCCUGGGGUGCGGAAUAACUCGGAGAAAUCCGUGCUAAUACCGCAUAAUGUCUUCGGACCAAAGAUUUAUCGCCCUGGGAUGAGCCCGCGUAGGAUUAGCUAGUUGGUGGGGUAAAGGCCUACCAAGGCGACGAUCCUUAGCUGGUCUGAGAGGAUGAUCAGCCACACUGGGACUGAGACACGGCCCAGACUCCUACGGGAGGCAGCAGUGGGGAAUAUUGGACAAUGGGCGAAAGCCUGAUCCAGCAAUGCCGCGUGAGUGAUGAAGGCCCUAGGGUUGUAAAGCUCUUUUACCCGGGAUGAUAAUGACAGUACCGGGAGAAUAAGCUCCGGCUAACUCCGUG